ACGAACGCUGGCGGCAUGCCUAACACAUGCAAGUCGAACGAGACCUUCGGGUCUAGUGGCGCACGGGUGCGUAACGCGUGGGAACCUGCCCUUAGGUUCGGAAUAACUCCCCGAAAGGGGUGCUAAUACCGGAUAAUGUCUUCGGACCAAAGAUUUAUCGCCUUUGGAUGGGCCCGCGUUGGAUUAGCUAGUUGGUAGGGUAAAAGCCUACCAAGGCGACGAUCCAUAGCUGGUCUGAGAGGAUGAUCAGCCACACUGGGACUGAGACACGGCCCAGACUCAUACGGGAGGCAGCAGUGGGGAAUAUUGGACAAUGGGCGAAAGCCUGAUCCAGCAAUGCCGCGUGAGUGAUGAAGGCCUUAGGGUUGUAAAGCUCUUUUACCCGGGAUGAUAAUGACAGUACCGGGAGAAUAAGCUCCGGCUAACUCCGUG
rnacentral:rRNA from 1 species